rnacentral:sRNA from 1 species
AACCUUAAGCUCUCAGUGUCGGCAGUAUGAACACAAACCAGAACACACUAAACUUUUCCCGAGGCAGAGUCCAGUCGACGACUUUAUGACAAUCUUCCUGGAUGGAGUUUGCCUAAUACCUUCCAGUUGGUCAUGAGACAGUCAGGGGACUGAAAAUGUGUCACUUGAUUAAGUUUUUCAGGCUGAUAACAAGAAGGCUACUGUGUUAUGACAAAUUUGCUACCUUCUAUAACCGAGCAACGUGUUGAAUCUUGGGGAAUACUACAAAAUAUGGAUCAACAUGUGUGGUGAUGUAUCUGAUGGUUUCUGCAAGUCAGAGUUGCUUUUGAAUGAGCCCUAGUAUAGGAUCCAUUUCACUUUGGCUCUAGGACACACACAGCAGACCCCCCUUGUCCGCUGGCUCUUACAAUCUCUACGACUCUCUUUCAAGAUUAUCCCUGAGCCCUGGGUACAUGGAGUGUGUUGCAGGUGUAUUCACACCACCACAAAAUAGACACUCUACUUGGUGAGGGCUGAGAGCUUCAUUAUCUGUGGGUAUAAGGUGAGUAUGUCGAAUGUAGUUAGGAAUAAUGCUGGCAAACUAAAUUACUAGUAGUUGGGUCUUUCCUAAGAUGCACGAUCUAACUCACUCUGGUAUUUGCCUAGGUUUUCAGUAUCAGGCAUGCUCCCCGUCCCCAAUUAGUGGGCCUUAGCCCAGUUAGAGAGUGGUUGGUUACACCAAAAUAUGAGUGCCACUCAUAUUUAUGAAUAUUUUACCAUGAUGUUCAUCAUUGUGUUUCAUAGGUGUCGUACCUGUGUACAUCUAUUGACUGCUUUUCUCCUUUAGCAGUUUUUAUAGCAUCUUUCUGGAACCAUACAAAGUAGUCCUCAGGGAAGAGGUUUUCAAAUUAGAUGCAAUUUAGAUCGUUUGAGUCCUGUCUGAGUACACGGUGUCUCCAAUAACAGAGAUGUAUCUUCAGCUUCUGGUAGGGAACAGCCACAGCACUUACUAUUUUGGUAAUCUCUUGAACUCUCCUGACAACUCAAAGGGGAGAAUCUUAUCCUUGGUAAAGGGGGUUUGGUCAGAUGGUCAAUGGGUCUUGAGGGAAGUACUGGCAGCCCAAGUUAACAUUGAUAAAUGAGAAAUAGAUAAUUAGAUGAUUAGAUAGAUGAUAGAUACAUGAUAGAGUAUGUGCAUGAUAUAUAGAUGCUUACAUGUAUUAUAUGUAAUUUUAGGUAUAUAUAAUAUGAUUCAUUAUGUGUUUGAAACAUCUGCAUUUUUAUUUUUCCCUUCUCCUUUCUUCUCUGCCUGACCAUCCAUGUCUCUUCCAUUAAAGACCCCUUCUUCUUAUUUUCCCAUUUCCUCUUUCUAUCACUUUUAUCCUGCUAUUUCCCUUCUCUAAAGAUCCCCCACCAAAUGCGCUAUGCAGCCCCAUGUGGGGCUAGGACCCACAGUGUAGGAAGUGUGGCUACAGAUGAUUUGAAGGAUGUGGGAGGAUGUGAAUUGGCUAUAUCCAAGUAGCAUGCCUUCUAAAAAGUCCCUGGAGCACCUGAGGACUCCGAUUUCCAUGGGAAAGGUAAGAAAGGUAUCCAAGGACCAAAAUCCCAUGGAUACAUAGUAGUGAUUAUAAAUAAUAUAGUUAAUGUUCCUCUCUUUUUCUAAACUACCUAAGAAAAUAUGGCUUUAUUUACUUAACAUAGGAAAAUAUGGUUAACAUAUAUUAUUCGAUUAUGAA